rnacentral:rRNA from 1 species
AUUGAACGCUGGCGGCAGGCCUAACACAUGCAAGUCGAGCGGAUGAGAGGAGCUUGCUCCUGGAUUCAGCGGCGGACGGGUGAGUAAUGCCUAGGAAUCUGCCUGGUAGUGGGGGACAACGUUUCGAAAGGAACGCUAAUACCGCAUACGUCCUACGGGAGAAAGCAGGGGACCUUCGGGCCUUGCGCUAUCAGAUGAGCCUAGGUCGGAUUAGCUAGUUGGUGAGGUAAUGGCUCACCAAGGCGACGAUCCGUAACUGGUCUGAGAGGAUGAUCAGUCACACUGGAACUGAGACACGGUCCAGACUCCUACGGGAGGCAGCAGUGGGGAAUAUUGGACAAUGGGCGAAAGCCUGAUCCAGCCAUGCCGCGUGUGUGAAGAAGGUCUUCGGAUUGUAAAGCACUUUAAGUUGGGAGGAAGGGCAGUAACUUAAUACGUUGCUGUUUGACGUACCGACA